AUCAGUUGGCAUGUAAACCACAUUUGAAACACAAUGCAAGAGUUAUUAGGGAGUAGGCACAGAUGAGCUUUUUCACAUGACCCCUUGAUGCAGAAUUGUGUAGCCUCAUUCUUGCUUAAGUGGCCAUUCAUUUUGAAAUAAUUUUUGUAAGGUAAAGUCUUGUCUCUCCAUCCCUUCACUAUUUGCUAGGGUAUUGGGCCAAGAGUGUAUACUUUAUAAAUUUAUCCUUAUUCUUCAAGCCAUGUUAUGCAACUGUAUUUUUCCAUGGCUACCACAGUUGAUUUCCUGCAGUAAACAUGCAAUAUGUGUGUCUUUCUCACCAUCAUAGGACAUGUGAUGGGAAGCACUGUUUGUCUGCAGUUUCCCACUCUGCAUUCCUCUUCCCAUGUUUACUGUGGGAGCUACAGUUGCACCUGAUGGAAUUGUGAUUGCCACUUAAAGUUUGAAUAAAUCUUGUGGGAGAGUACCUCAUUAAAAACACCAGUGAACGUAAGGUUUGAUGUAAACCACUUGGAGGGUUUUGUAGACUAAGCAGUAUAUAACACUCUUU